GGCAAUGCCUGUCAUGUUCACCACAAUAUCCCCUCCCCCAUCACCGCGCCUGUCCACAGUGACGCUCAAAAAAUAUCUGUUGGCAGGCAAUGCGAAGAUGCAUUCAUGUCAUCCUGCAGGCGGAAUUCUCCACGAGUUUUGAGCAGCCUCGGUUUUCCCACCACCUUCAAAUCAUGCAAGACACAGGGUAAGAGCAGACAAGGAGGCUGUGGCCGAUGUCCACCCUCUCGGGGCGUCCCUUCUCUUCCCUCCUCCCUGAGGCAGGGAGACCAUGGGGAUGCAACUGGCUGGGGCAGGGAGGAGGUGCAGGGCCUGGCCACGGGCAGGGGACAGCGACAGCCUGGGCCGGGGCAGGUGAGCGCGGCGCAGGCUCGGGCCCGGAGUGUCCGCGGUGCUCGCGAGAGGCCAGCAGAGGGCGCCAGAGAGCCAGGAGCGGCCCGCGGAGGAGCCCGCGCCGGCCCCGAUGCCCAGCUCCGCGCCGCGCGGACGCACCGAGCCCGCGCUCAGACGCCCCAGCUCCGCCGAGAGGCCGCUCGCGCCGGGUGCUUCCUCUUCCCCAAGUGCAGGUAGAGCCCCCGGAGCCAUGGCCAGCCCUUCCGGCAGCUCCGAAGCCACGGGCAAGCCCCGAGGCAGGGACGGCCGGCCCAGGAGGGAGGAGGACGAUGUCCCUCCCGAGGAGAAGAGGCUGCGGCUGGGGCUGCAGGGGGGAAGCGCACAGCCCGAGGACGGGGAGGACGCGCCGCGGCCAGGCAGGGAGGAGACCGGCACCCAGACAGGUGGCGACGGCAGAGGAGAUCUACUGUCCCUGCCAUACAGCCUGGUCGAGGGUCAGGACUACAAGUCUGAAAAUUCAACCCUCCUCCCCGGUGCCAAGAACAGUCUGCAAGACUCCGUAAGUAGAGGCAUUUUGCUGAACAGAUUAGAUUUUGAAACUACUUUUGCAUCCUUUUCAGCCUCUUUGGUCUCGGUCAUCAAUCACCGGGAAUGGUUUUCACCUGAAACUGAUAUUGCUGGAGAAGUAACUGGAUUUGAGGGGAAUAAAUUUCUCCGGUCACGUGCACAAUUUCUAUUAGGAAACACCUGGCCCGUAUUCCCAGCCUCUGGUACAUGGUGUGAGAGCUGUAUUCUGUCCUCUAACAAAGACCAGGUCCACUUGGUGGACAGAUGUGGGUACAGUGGUUGGUGACAAGGCUGCAGGUCAGUCCCUCUGCCCCCUGGUGUGAGGGCCCCAG